CAAUAGCGUAUAUUAAAGUUGUUGCGGUUAAAAAGCUCGUAGUUGGAUCUCGGCAGGCAGGGGGUGGUUCGCUCUUAGCGCUACUGCCCCAUUUGCCUGUGUGAUUGGCGGAGGUUUCGGGGUGCUCUUCGUUGAGUGACCCGGGGCGCCGUCAGGUUUACUUUGAAAAAAUUAGAGUGCUCAAAGCAGGCUUUUCACGCUUGAAUAUUCGUGCAUGGAAUAAUGGAAUAGGAACUCGUUUCUAUUUUGUUGGUUUUCGGAAAUCGAGUUAAUGAUUAAUAGGGACAAUUGGGGGCAUUAGUAUUCAGACGACAGAGGUGAAAUUCUUGGACCGUCUGAAGACUAACUACUGCGAAAGCAUUUGCCAAGGGUGUUUUCAUUAA
rnacentral:rRNA from 1 species